AUUGAACGCUGGCGGCAUGCCUAACACAUGCAAGUCGAACGGUAACAGGCCCUUCGGGCGCUGACGAGUGGCGGACGGGUGAGUAAUACUUAGGAAUCUACCCUGUAGUGGGGGACAACCCGAGGAAACUCGGGCUAAUACCGCAUACGCUCUACGGAGGAAAGCGGGGGACCGCAAGGCCUCGCGCUAUUGGAUGAGCCUAAGCCCGAUUAGCUAGUUGGUGGGGUAAUGGCCUACCAAGGCAAUGAUCGGUAGCUGGUCUGAGAGGACGACCAGCCACACUGGGACUGAGACACGGCCCAGACUCCUACGGGAGGCAGCAGUGGGGAAUAUUGGACAAUGGGCGAAAGCCUGAUCCAGCGAUGCCGCGUGU
rnacentral:rRNA from 1 species